rnacentral:rRNA from 1 species
GAUGAACGCUGGCGGCGUGCCUAAUACAUGCAAGUCGAGCGAACAGACGAGGAGCUUGCUCCUCUGACGUUAGCGGCGGACGGGUGAGUAACACGUGGAUAACCUACCUAUAAGACUGGGAUAACUUCGGGAAACCGGAGCUCAUACCGGAUAAUAUAUAGAACCGCAUGGUUCAAUAGUGAAAGCCGGUUUUGCCGUCACUUAUAGAUGGAUCCGCGCCGCAUUAGCUAGUUGGUGAGGUAACGGCUUACCAAGGCAACGAUGCGUAGCCGACCUGAGAGGGUGAUCGGCCACACUGGAACUGAGACACGGUCCAGACUCCUACGGGAGGCAGCAGUAGGGAAUCUUGCGCAAUGGGCGAAAGCUUGACGGAGCAACGCCGCGUGAGUGAUGAAGGUCUUCGGAUCGUAAAACUCUGUUAUUAGGGAAGAACAAAUGUGUAAGUAACUAGGCACGUCUUGACGGUACCUAAUCAGAAAGCCACGGCUAACUACGUG